rnacentral:lncRNA from 1 species
UUAAAACCCCUUUUGAAAAAAUAAACAAGAAACGUAUGGGGAAACAAAAAGUCAUCAGAAAACUUAAUUACCCUCAUAUCAAUCCCAUCAAAACCUCUUCAAUACCCCGAUGUACAUUGAAAGAUCAAAACCCAUUGGAACUCUCAGCAAAAUCAAAAUUUCAGAAAACUUUCUCCAACUUCUUCAUCUCUUCUUCCCCAAACCUCACCCACGACCUCCAUCCUCCUCCUGUCUUCAGCCAUCGCCUCCACCGCACCAAGAGGUACCAUAUUUGUCAGGUAAGUAGAUUCUCUUUUCUUGAGUCCUUCUUGUGCUAAACAAUGGGCAACUCUGUUAGCCUCCCUGUUUGUGAAAAGGAAAACACAAAGAUUAAAUUGACAGCAGAGAUACUGAGCAUCUUUGAUAUACCCAGAAAUUUUCGAUCUAUCCUCCGUUUUCUCUUGCAGUUUCCUGAUGAUCGUUCGAGAAUCACCUUCAACCUCAAUCUCCCUCAACCCAAGUUGUAACCUCAGCUUCAGUACCUGAAGACACGCUACUGCUUCUGCAGAAAAAACAGACGGUAUGUUCAAGUUCAUCUCCGUUUUACAACAGAUAAUCUCUGCUUUACUAUUACAAAUCACUACCCCAGAGCACGACUCUUUGGUGUGGUUGUUGAAAGCUGUGUCAAAGUUCACUUUCAAUCUGGAUCCAUCGGCGCAGACCAUCUGUCAACACAGAUCCGUCUUCCAGGUAUAGCACUUUUUAGAUCAUCAAGUUCCUUUAAAUAUACUUGCACAAAACUUGCAAUCUGACUGCCAGUUUAGUUUACCCCAUCAUGAAUGAAUUUGUUCCGAGCCAUCCGUAACGCCUAUAAAGCGCAGACAAUCAUUCUACACAAAGCCAUGGGUCUAGUCUCAAAGGUAUUUUUCAACCAAUCUGUAAAUACUGAAUUGUCAUCCAAUCUAGCCCAUGCCAUAUGUAAAUGUUCCCAUAUAUCUUUUGCAGGAGGACAUGCCCAGAAAAUAUGCUCCCUUGUUUCAGCUCCUGUUAGACACCUUCUACACAUGAGGGAAGCCAUCAUUCUGCGAUAAUGAAGAUUACUAAAACUAGGCAUAUAGUUACAAAGUAUUCUCCAUAUUGUAAUUUUGAUUUUAGGGUGUAGAUUCAUUUUCCAUAAUUUCUUGUAAAUUUGCUUGUGGUCUGAAUGUAAUUGAUCCCGACCUAAUUGUAAAAGAAGUCUGUGACCACUUCGGACCGAGAAUUCUCCUGACGACUCACCCCUCCAUACAAGAGUGUCUUCAUGCUCAAACAAAGGAAGAGGAAUACAGAGGAUCCUUUUUGCAGUCUGUUCAUCAAAGGUAAAACUGAUCAGAUCAGACUUCCAAUUUUUAGAACUGGCAUCAAUAAGAUCCACAACUUUGAUGAGACUCUGAUUAUUAUUCAUAUUCUGAAUUCUGAGAUUAUCAUCUCCAGGUAUCCAAACAUCAUCCCAAAUGGAAGCUUUCUGACCAUUGCCAAUCCGCCAACCCAAACCUUUCAAGAGGAGGCCCCUCGCGGCCCAGAUACUCUGCCAGGCAAAAGAAGGUAGCCUCCCUAAACUGGAGUUUAAAAAAUCCCCAUCUUUAAAAUACCGAGCUUUCGAAGUAUGCGCUAGUAAAAAAUUAGGAUUAUUUAACAGGCAUCAACCUUGUUUAGCCAAUAAAGCAGUAUUAAAAGAACUCAAAUGACGAAAUCCGAUACCACCUUUCUCCUUAGGCGCACAUAAGGAUUUCCAAUUACACCAAUGCAUCCCCCGCCUAUUAUGAUUAUUCCUCCCCAAAAUGAGCUCAUAAUAUUUUCCAGUUCCACACAAAGCGAUUUCGGUAAAAGGAAACAAUCCAUCGAAUAUAUGGGAAUAGACUGUAAGACAGCCUUGAUAAAAACCUCUCGACCUCCUUGUGAAAUAUGCCUAAUACUUCAGUUAUUAAUUUUCUGCAUCAAACGAUCUUUCGACUUUUGAAAAAUCAUUUUCUUCUUACGACCCACCACAUUGGGAAGUCCAAGAUAACUUUCUAGAUCAGUCGAGCUACGAACAUGAAGCGCCUGAAACACCUUACUCUUGUCUUGAUCCUUCACAUUUGUGCUGAAAAAGACCGUAGAUUUUUCAUAAUUAACGCACUGACCCGAACAAGACUCAUACUCUCCAAGAAUUUCUUUCAGCACAUGAACCAUCUGAUUUGAUACAUCUUCGAACAGGAUACAGUCAUCAGCAAACAUCAGAUGAGUUAUAGGUGGGGCCAAUCUGAAAACUUUAGCUCCAUGAAUCUUUUUAUCCCGACUUGCCAACCUCAUUAGCGCAGAAAGCACUUAUCCACAAAACAAGAAGAGAUAGGGGCUUAAAGGAUCCCCUUGAUGCAAGCCCCUAGAAGGUUUGAAACUUAAGCCUUCUGCCCCAUUAGUUAGAAUGGAAUACUGAACAGAAUUAACACAACAGAUAAUAAACUCCAUAAACCGUUCGUCGAAUCCCAUUUUUGACAUUAUGCUUUUAAUGAAAGGCCACUUCACUCUAUCAUAGGCCUUGCUCAUAUCGAGUUUUAAAGCCAUGAAUCCCUUUUUCCCGUAUCUCUUGUUUUUAAAUGAAUGAAGCACCUCAUAUGCCAUGAGUCUACCAGGAACGAAAGCACUUUGAGAGUUAUCGAUGCAAGCAUGUAAAACCUUUUGAAGCCGAUUAGCAACAGUUUUUGCAAUGAUCUUAUAAAUAACAGUGUAUAGACUAACGGGACGAAAAUUCUUAAGAUUGCUAGGACUGGCAGUCUUGGGAAUCAGCACUAUUUGUGUUUUGUUUAUAUCCCCCACAGAUUUCCUGUUAUUCAGAAUGUCUAAACAAUAUAUGCAAAUGUCCUUACCAAUAAUAUGCCAGAAUUUCUGGUAGAAAUUGCUGGAAAGCCAUCAGCACCCGAAGCUUUGGUAGGUCCCAUGCCCUUCAACGCCUAAACUAUUUCGUCCUCCUUAUAAGUGGCCAACAAACUUUGGUUCAUUUGAUCUGAUACGAACAAAUGUACUUUGGAGAGAAUGUCCCAAAUCCCCAAUUCCUCUAGAGGCAAAAUGUAACGCCCCUAGCCUUAUACCGUCAUUGGAAUAGGGUUACGAGACAUUACCAGUUAGUACAGUCUAAUUUCGGUCAUUAAUUAAAAUAAAUAGUUACACACAUUAUAAUUUUAAGAUGUCUCUUUAAUGGGCCCUCGCGGUCCAAUAUGAACAGUUAAUUUUAAAAUUCAUUCUACAUACCGUUGCCAACCAUAAUUUACUCAUUUCAUGAGUACAUCUACAACCUAAAUGACUCUCAUAAAACAUCUUAAGUACAUGCCAUUACUAAUAAUUAACACACUUUACCUUAAUGAAUUCGGGAUCGAACUGGGAUGCUGAUUCAACGUUCUAUCUUUAUUAAACCUGCGCACGGAAACAAAUCGUAUGCUGAGUAUGGUAUACUUAGUGGUAUUUCCAUAAACCGAACACUUAAUAAUAUAACAAUUAAACUGAAAAUUACAAUAACAAUUAUAAGUAUUCAUUUAUUUGUUUUAUAGAUAAAUUUUCAAUUACUUAUCAUAUAAAUUCUAUACAAGUCAUAUAGCAAAAAUAAUAACAUAUUUGUUUAAUUCUUUUUAUUUACUUACCGUAUAAAUUCUAUACAAUAUAUUCAUAAUUCACUUGUUUUCAUAUUUUAUUUCUUAACAAUAUACUAUUUUAAUUCAUUUUAACAUCAAUCAUCAUCCUUUUGAACUUCACUCAUUUCAUGAACCUUUUGGUUCAUGUUUUCAAUCUCAUAUAUCAAUUUCAAUUCUCAAUUCAAUUUCUCAUUUCAUUCCAAUAGCUCAAUCAAUCAAAUUCACUCGACUUAUCUUUUCACUUAUUUAUCCCUAUUAACAAGACUCGGACCUUGGCGGAUACACGGAUCCAACCAAACACACCAAUAUGGCACCCAGUGCCUUAUCGGAUAGUUCGAAGCAAUAUUUGACAUCCAGUGUCUCAUCGGCCUAGUCGAAGUAAAGUUGGUACCCAGUACCUCAUCGAAUCUAUCCGAAGAAAUAUAGUGACACCUAGUGUUUCAUCGACUCGAGGUCGAAGAAUCCCUGAACACUUCCAAUCCUAUGGCAUGCCAACUAUAUCCGACUCAGCCCGAUACUGUUAAUAGGGUAUUCAAUUCACUUUCAAUUUUUUUCAAUCAAUACACAUUUUAAUUAAUCACAUAAAUUCAUAAUUCAAUACAAUUCAAUUCACUUUUCAAUAACAAAUAUCCAAAUAUCACAAAUCUCAUAUUUAAAAUUUUCAAACAAUUUAUAUUUCAAUUCAAUUCAAAUAAUCAAUAUAAAUUUAAUAAUUUCAUCACAUACUAUAUCAAUCCAUUUCAUUUGCAAAACACUAUUUCACUAAAAAAUAAAUUCAAGCCGUAAUUUUCGAGCUAACUCCCGUUGACUUUGUCUUGUCCUUUCUUAGCCGAGAUUUUUGGUACCACAUUGACUACGAAAUUAAUACAAUUUAUAAUCGUUAAUACAUUACUAAUUCAUAUCUUGAGUUAUAGAAUUCUAAAUUAAGAUCCGCUAAUUUUUCUUGAAACUAGACUCACAAAUCUUUUUAUAAUAAAAUUUUCAGAAUUUUUGGUUUAGCCAUUAAGUACAGUUUAUUUUUUAAAUUCACCCCUAUUCUGCUGUUUGACAGUUUCGUCCCUUCUUCACUAAAAAAUAAUUAUCUCACAGUACAGAAAUCGGAUAACAUUCUCGUUGAUUUCUAAUGAAAAUAUACUCAUUAGGGAUUCUAAACAUAUAACUUUAAGCCUCUAAUUAUUUUUAUUAAAUUUUUGGUGAUUUUCCAAAGUCAGAACAGGGGAACCUGAAUUCAUUCUGACCUUGUCUCACAAAAUUUAUUAUAUCUCAUAAUUUACAAUUCAAUUGCUUAUAUCGUUUCUUCUAUAAGAAAAUAGACUCAAUAAUAUUUAAUUUCAUAUUUUAUUCAUCCUCUAAUUCAAUUUCUAUAAUUUUUGGUGAUUUUUCAAACUUAAACUACUACUGCUGUCCAAAAUAGUCUUAGUACAAAAUGUUGAUUUACUUUAAUUUUAAUUUAAUUCUAACUAAAUUCACUUACUUUUCUAUCUUAAUUCAUACUUUAUUUCUAUUCAAAUUUCAUCCAUACUCAUUUAAAUAUUAAAUUUCCAGCAUACUUUCUUAAUUUCAAAAUUUCAUCAAUUUAGUCCCUACAACAUAAAACUUAUAACUUACUUUACAAUUUGAUCCUAUUAUCAAUUCUAGAUUGAAAUUUACUCAAUUAAACCCUUAAUUCACUAUUUUAUUCAACAUGAACUAUACUUGAAAAUCUAUAAACUCUCAAAAUAUCAACUUAAUUUCAUCAAAGUCUUGUUCCAAAGCUUCUAAAAUAUUAAAAUUUAAGAAGAAAUGACUUAAUUGACUUACCAAACUUGAAACCUUAAUUUUCCUUUUUCUUUUUCUUUCUUUCUUUCUUCCCUGUUUCUUCUCUGUUUUGUUUGCUUUCAUUCUGUUUCUUAUGUUUCUUUACUUAUUUAUAUAAUAUAAUAUAUAAUAUAAUAUACUAUAAUAUAAUAAUAAUUUAAUAUAUAUA